rnacentral:rRNA from 1 species
GAUGAACGCUGGCGGCGUGCCUAAUACAUGCAAGUCGAGCGAACAGACGAGGAGCUUGCUCCUCUGACGUUAGCGGCGGACGGGUGAGUAACACGUGGAUAACCUACCUAUAAGACUGGGAUAACUUCGGGAAACCGGAGCUAAUACCGGAUAAUAUAUUGAACCGCAUGGUUCAAUAGUGAAAGACGGUUUUGCUGUCACUUAUAGAUGGAUCCGCGCCGCAUUAGCUAGUUGGUAAGGUAACGGCUUACCAAGGCAACGAUGCGUAGCCGACCUGAGAGGGUGAUCGGCCACACUGGAGCUGAGACACGGUCCAGACUCCUACGGGAGGCAGCAGUAGGGAAUCUUCCGCAAUGGGCGAAAGCCUGACGGAGCAACGCCGCGUGAGUGAUGAAGGUCUUCGGAUCGUAAAGCUCUGUUAUUAGGGAAGAACAAAUGUGUAAGUAGCUAUGCACGUCUUGACGGUACCUAAUCAGAAAGCCACGGCUAACUACGUG